rnacentral:misc_RNA from 1 species
GCUCUCUCUUGUGCUACCUAAAAAGGGUCAGUUUGACUUCUUUUAUUAUUGCAUUUCUCAUGGAAGUAACCAUGUAUAAAUGAACUACUGUCAAAUGAGAUAUGGAUUGGAUUCAUGAAAUUAAGCAGCUUUGACGGGAUGUUAAAAAUUAUCAUUCUGACUUUCCAUUCUUGAGAGGAAACCAACAAAGAGAGGAGUUGGAGGGAAACUGAUGAAAUAGGACAAAUAUCAAUGUAAUGCACAUUACUAUCCACUAUUCAACCAAAAAUAUAUGGACCACGUAAUUGAAAUAUGGGAAAUUCUGGCGUAGACCUGGUCCAUCACAAACUCAAUACAUUAACAUGUGGUAUUUAUGUAUUUAACAGAUGGAAUUUUAAUAAAUGAUAAGCGAGAUCUAAGUAAGAAAAGUCCUUAAAACACAUAUAAAGCAAGUGCAGUUAUUCAAAAAUUAAUUUAUGAUAUGCCUUGCUUUAAGUUUUCCAAAAGGAAAGAACUAGUAAAUAAUUCUUUGAACCAAUCUGA